GAUGAAGAACGCAGCGAAAUGCGAUAAGUAAUGUGAAUUGCAGAAUUCUGUGAAUCAUCGAGUCUUUGAACGCACAUUGCGCCCCCUGGUAUUCCGGGGGGCAUGCCUGUCCGAGCGUCAUUGCUGCCCUCAAGCACGGCUUGUGUGUUGGGCUCCGUCCCCCCGGGGACGGGCCCGAAAGGCAGCGGCGGCACCGAGUCCGGUCCUCGAGCGUAUGGGGCUUUGUCACCCGCUCUGUAGGCCCGGCCGGCGCCAGCCGACAACCCAUCAUCCUUUUCAGGUUGACCUCGGAUCAGGUAGGGAUACCCGCUGAACUUAAGCAUAUCAAUAAGCGGAGGA
rnacentral:misc_RNA from 1 species